rnacentral:rRNA from 1 species
GACGAACGCUGGCGGCGUGCUUAACACAUGCAAGUCGAACGGUAAGGCCCUUCGGGGUACACGAGUGGCGAACGGGUGAGUAACACGUGGGUGAUCUGCCCUGCACUUCGGGAUAAGCCUGGGAAACUGGGUCUAAUACCGGAUAGGACUCCUGGCUUCAUGGUUGGGGGUGGAAAGCUUUUGCGGUGUGGGAUGGGCCCGCGGCCUAUCAGCUGGUUGGUGGGGUAAUGGCCUACCAAGGCGACGACGGGUAGCCGGCCUGAGAGGGCGACCGGUGACACUGGGACUGAGAUACGGCCCAGACUCCUACGGGAGGCAGCAGUGGGGAAUAUUGCACAAUGGGCGCAAGCCUGAUGCAGCGACGCCGCGUGAGGGAUGACGGCCUUCGGGUUGUAAACCUCUUUCAGCUAUGACGAAGCGCAAGUGACGGUAGUAGCAGAAGAAGGACCGGCCAACUACGUGCCAGCCGCCGCCGUAA